rnacentral:rRNA from 1 species
UGGGGAAUAUUGGACAAUGGGCGCAAGCCUGAUCCAGCCAUGCCGCGUGUGUGAAGAAGGCCUUUUGGUUGUAAAGCACUUUAAGCGGGGAGGAGGCAACUUGGGUUAAUACCCCGAUGUUGCGGACGUUACCCGCAGAAUAAGCACCGGCUAACUCUGUGCCAGCAGCCGCGGUAAUACAGAGGGUGCGAGCGUUAAUCGGAAUUACUGGGCGUAAAGCGCGCGUAGGCGGCUUGUUAAGUCGGAUGUGAAAUCCCUGGGCUCAACCUAGGAACUGCAUUCGAUACUGGCAAGCUAGAGUGUGGGAGAGGAAGGUAGAAUUCCAGGUGUAGCGGUGAAAUGCGUAGAGAUCUGGAGGAAUACCGAUGGCGAAGGCAGCCUUCUGGCCUAACACUGACGC